rnacentral:rRNA from 1 species
UACGUAGGGUGCGAGCGUUAAUCGGAAUUACUGGGCGUAAAGCGUGCGCAGGCGGAUGUUUAAGACAGGUGUGAAAGCCCCGGGCUCAACCUGGGAAUGGCGCUUGUAACUGGACAUCUAGAGUGUGUCAGAGGGAGGUGGAAUUCCACGUGUAGCAGUGAAAUGCGUAGAGAUGUGGAGGAACACCGAUGGCGAAGGCAGCCUCCUGGGAUAACACUGACGCUCAGGCACGAAAGCGUGGGGAGCAAACAGG